UACGUAGGGUGCAAGCGUUAAUCGGAAUUACUGGGCGUAAAGCGUGCGCAGGCGGUGAUGUAAGACAGAUGUGAAAUCCCCGGGCUCAACCUGGGAACUGCAUUUGUGACUGCAUCGCUGGAGUACGGCAGAGGGGGAUGGAAUUCCGCGUGUAGCAGUGAAAUGCGUAGAUAUGCGGAGGAACACCGAUGGCGAAGGCAAUCCCCUGGCCUGUACUGACGCUCAUGCACGAAAGCGUGGGGAGC
rnacentral:rRNA from 1 species